rnacentral:rRNA from 1 species
CCCCGGUAAACGGCGGCCGUAACUAUAACGGUCCUAAGGUAGCGAAAUUCCUUGUCGGGUAAGUUCCGACCUGCACGAAUGGCGUAAUGAUGGCCAGGCUGUCUCCACCCGAGACUCAGUGAAAUUGAACUCGCUGUGAAGAUGCAGUGUACCCGCGGCAAGACGGAAAGACCCCGUGAACCUUUACUAUAGCUUGACACUGAACAUUGAGCCUUGAUGUGUAGGAUAGGUGGGAGGCUUUGAAGUGUGG